UAAUACGGAGGAUCCGAGCGUUAUCCGGAUUUAUUGGGUUUAAAGGGUGCGCAGGCGGAAUAAUAAGUCAGCGGUGAAAUUUCUCGGCUUAACCGGGAGACUGCCGUUGAUACUGUUAAUCUAGAUUUUAGUUGGCGUAGGCGGAAUAUGUCAAGUAGCGGUGAAAUGCAUAGAUAUGACAUAGAACACCAAUCGGGAAGCCGGCUUACGAAGCUAUAAAUGACGCUCAUGCACGAAAGCGUGGGGAUCAAACAGG
rnacentral:rRNA from 1 species